rnacentral:rRNA from 1 species
UCGCGAAAACUUCACAAUGGGGGAAACCCCGAUGAGGGAAUUCCAAGUGCCAGCACAUUGUGUUGGCUGUUCUCUGGUCUAAAAAACCGGAGAAGUAAGGGCCGGGUAAGACGGGUGCCAGCCGCCGCGGUAAUACCCGCGGCCCGAGUGGUGGUCGAUAUUAUUGAGCCUAAAACGUCCGUAGCCGGUCUUGUAAAUCCUUGGGUAAAUCGACCAGCUUAACUGUUCGAAGUCCGGGGAGACUGCAAGACUUGGGAUCGGGAGAGGUGAGAGGUACUUCUGGGGUAGGGGUAAAAUCCUGUAAUCCUAGAAGGACCACCGGUGGCGAAGGCGUCUAGCUAGAACGGAUCCGACGGUGAGGGACGAAGCCCUGGGGCGCAAACG